rnacentral:rRNA from 1 species
GGAGUUUGGACCGUGUCUCAGUUCCAAUGUGGGGGGACCUUCCUCUCAGAACCCCUACUGAUCGAAGGCUCGGUGGGCCGUUACCCCCGCCGACUACCUAAUCAGACGCAUCCCCCAUCCCCUCAGCGGUAAACCUUUGCUUCAUCUCAGAUGUCAUCAACGAAGAACAUAGGGUAUUAAUCCGCAUUUCUACG